UACGUAGGGACCGAGCGUUGUCCGGAAUCAUUGGGCGUAAAGAGCGUGUAGGCGGCCACUUAAGUCCUGCGUGAAAUCUUGCGGCUCAACCGCAAGCGGUCGUGGGAAACUGGGUGGCUAGAGUGCGGGAGAGGAGAGUGGAAUUCCUGGUGUAGCGGUGAAAUGCGUAGAUAUCGGAAGGAACACCUGUGGCGAAAGCGGCUCACUGGACCAUAACUGACGCUGAGGCGCGAAAGCUAGGG
rnacentral:rRNA from 1 species